rnacentral:rRNA from 1 species
GGUCCGCAGGCGGAUUUAUAAGUCAGUGGUGAAAGCCUACAGCUUAACUGUAGAACUGCCAUUGAUACUGUAAGUCUUGAAUUCGAUCGAAGUGGGCGGAAUGUGACAUGUAGCGGUGAAAUGCUUAGAUAUGUCACAGAACACCGAUAGCGAAGGCAGCUCACUAGGUCUGGAUUGACGCUCAGGGACGAAAGCGUGGGGAGCAAACAGGAUUAGAUACCCUGGUAGUCCACGCCGUAAACUAUGAUUACUCGUUCUCGGCGAUAUACGGUCGGGGACUAAGCGAAAGUGAUAAGUAAUCCACCUGGGGAGUACGAUCGCAAGGUUGAAACUCAAAGGAAUUGACGGGGGCCCGCACAAGCGGUGGAGCAUGUGGCUUAAUUCGACGCAACGCGAAGAACCUUACCAAGGCUUGACAUAUACAGGAAUACGGCAGAGAUGUCGUAGCGGUUAAACGUCUGUAUACAGGUGGUGCAUGGUUGUCGUCAGCUCGUGUCGUGAGAUGUUGGGUUAAGUCCCGCAACGAGCGCAACCCUCGUUCUGUGUUGCCAGCAUUUAGUUGGGGACUCACAGGAGACUGCCGGGGUUAACUCGGAGGAAGGUGGGGAUGACGUCAAAUCAUCAUGCCCCUUAUGUCUUGGGCUGCACGCAUGCUACAAUGGCUGGUACAAACGGCUGCGAUACCGCAAGGUGGAGCGAAUCCGAGAAAGCCAGUCUCAGU